UGGGGAAUAUUGGACAAUGGGCGCAAGCCUGAUCCAGCCACGCCGCGUGAGUGAUGAAGGCCUUAGGGUUGUAAAGUUCUUUUGUCAGGGAAGAUAAUGACGGUACCUGAAGAAUAAGCACCGGCUAACUUCGUGCCAGCAGCCGCGGUAAUACGAAGGGUGCUAGCGUUAAUCGGAAUUACUGGGCGUAAAGCGUGCGCAGGCGGUUUUGUAAGUCUGUCGUGAAAGCCCCGGGCUCAACCUGGGAAUUGCGAUGGAGACUGCAAGGCUUGAAUCUGGCAGAGGGGGGUAGAAUUCCACGUGUAGCAGUGAAAUGCGUAGAGAUGUGGAGGAACACCGAUGGCGAAGGCAGCCCCCUGGGUCAAGAUUGACGCUCAUGCACGAAAGCGUGGGGAGCAAACAGGAUUAGAUACCCCCGUAGUCCCUGAGCGGGCUGGCAAGGCGCAU
rnacentral:rRNA from 1 species